CCAGACUUUCUGGGAAGAGAAGGGAAAGGAUUCCUGAUGAAGAGGAUCUAAGCAUAGUCCCUGAUUUGAUAUCCAGUCUCAUUCACAACCUUGCACUGUGUCCUUGGGCCAAAGCUUUGGGCCCACUGAGGAAAAUCAAAAGAAUGAGCUGCCACCAAUUCCCAAAGAUACAUCUCCAAGAGGAAGUGGGGCAGCAGCACCGCCACCGGAACAAGUGUGGGUCUCUCAAGGCUCCAUGAUCUCCAGGCACACGUUCACGAUGCACUGGAUCUCCAGCAUCCUGGCUGCGUUGAGGAUGUGCUUGACAUUGCCAGCGGUGAUGGUGAGCGUGGAGGUGUAGGCGAACUCCAGGAUAGCAGCCAGAGCCUCAGGAGCACGUCACACAGCAGGCCAUCGUGCCGUUGCUCAUUGAGGCU
rnacentral:lncRNA from 1 species